CAUAAGUGUGACUGGGGAAAGGAACAGGACUUGCGUCCCAAUUGACACCUGACCCCAACAUUAUAACUAGACUUUGCUGCUUGUUGCACACCGAGCACAAUGACUUUUCGCAUGCAUGAUUCGUGACAAAAGUACUGAGGUACACAUGGGAAUAGGUCAUUAGUAAGUGAAUGUCAAUAUAUCUAACUAUUUCUCGAACAAAUCACUAGCCUAACCAAAAACUUAUUUUGCAACAGAAUCAUAUGGAGCCUCAGGAAGGCCGUGAGACCAAGUAAACAACAAGCAGCCAAGCAUGUUAGUACAGUACAUUACACAAAUAACUUUUAUAACUUAUAGAUCUAAGUAAAGCCAGGAGGACUGUAAGAAGUUAACUUAGAAACAUAAUGUUUACGUAUACUAAUCUUGAAAGAGUUAAGCGAACCACAGAUUUUUAGAUCUGCUGNNNNNNNNNNNNNNNNNNNNCCCCACCCAUUUAUAAAAAUUAAAUCAUAAAUAAAAAUAGAACAAAAAUCUUAAAUUAUGCCUACUAAAAACUUAUUCAAAUUCCUAUCUUACCAUAUAGUUGUAUUAAAUACUAAUAAUCUAUAUAUUAUACAUCAUUAUAUCUCAAAGCAGUUGAGUCCCCACCCAUUUAUAAAAAUUAAAUCAUAAAUAAAAAUAGAACAAAAAUCUUAAAUUAUGCCUACUAAAAACUUAUUGAAAUUCCUGUUGUACCAUAUAGUUGUAUUAAAUACAUAUAAUCUAUAUAUUAUAGAUCAUUAUAUCUCAAAGCAGUUGGGCCCUCACCCAUUUAUAAAAAUUAAAUCAUACAUAAAAUUAGAACAAAAAUCUUAAAUUAUGCCUACUAAAAACUUAUUCAAAUUCCUAUCUUACCAUAUAGUUGUAUUAAAUACUAAUAAUCUAUAUAUUAUACAUCAUUAUAUCUCAAAGCAGUUGGGUCCCCCCCCCCCCAUUUAUAAAAAUUAAAUCAUAAAUAAAAUUAGAACAAAAAUCCUAAAUCUUGCCUAGUACUAAAAACUUA
rnacentral:lncRNA from 1 species